GAUGAACGCUGGCGGCGUGCCUAAUACAUGCAAGUCGAGCGAGAAAUUAAUCAGACGCGUUUUCGGACAAGUCAGAUUAAUGGAAAGCGGCGGACGGGUGAGUAACGCGUAGGCAACCUGCCCUUAGCAGAGGGAUAGCCAUUGGAAACGAUGAUUAAAACCUCAUAACGCUGUAGUAACACAUGUUACAUCAGCCAAAGAUUUAUCGGCUAGGGAUGGGCCUGCGUCUGAUUAACUAGUUGGUGGGGUAACGGCUCACCAAGGUGACGAUCAGUAGCCGACCUGAGAGGGUGAUCGGCCACAUUGGAACUGAGACACGGCCCAG
rnacentral:rRNA from 1 species